GAUAUGGCAACACUUAUUAUCUGACAACAUGGAACCCAUUUGUUAUUGUUCAUAUUACGAAAAUUGUGUAAAAAUUUAAUGCUUAUUUAAAGCAAAUACUUAAAUAUUUAAUAUAAAAUAAAUAUGUAGAAACAUUGAAGUGAAAAAUUAGUGUAUAAUAAGUGCAAAGUAAUUAGUGUAAAGUAAGGCAAUAAUUAUAUAUAUUCCUGAUCUGGAGAAUCUCCUUUAUCCAACCAUACCCCUCUUAACCCUGAAAUCGUGGGAUGCUAAACUAAAGCCCACCCAUGUUUAACUCGCUGAACUGGUAAUUACAGCUAAGUGAUCUGAAUUCUGCAGAAUUUUGCAGCUACAGCAAAAACAACGAAGUUACUUCAAAAAUAUGUGCAAAGUGCGUUAAAGGGGGAUCUAAACUAUACAUUUACCAAGAUUUCUUGGUGCCUAUCGUUGUUAAUUAGUUGAAUUUAUAUUUUCUUAAUCUGGAUAACUUCCUCAUUCCGUAUAAACCCAGUUUAACCUCGAUUUGGUGGAUUUUCGUUUUUCAAUAACUUGGCGUUUUUGUGUUUUGUAGUAAACACACAUCCAUAAAUCAAGAUUUGCGCCUACGUAGUACUCAAAACACAGAAACUUCUUUAAUCCGAUGUUUCGUAUGGCUCAUAUGUAUGGUUGGUGAAAAAAUCCGGCAAUUUUAUACGUUAAACAAUAUCACGCCGGCUAUGAUGAAUAAAAUUUCACUUAAAGGAACGACGCGACGAUGUACUUCAUAUAAACAGCGUUAGUAGGAAAAUAAUCCCCUAAAAUGAAAUAAGGCGACACAUCACAAUUCGAGAAUUUUUACAGUAAACACAUCAUUAUUAUAACGCUCGUUUUAUGAGAAAAAUGCGGUAAAUUAACAUGAGUGAAGAAAAACAAAUCUGACUCAAAGCGUAACAAAAAAAACACAAAAAACACGAACUAUAAGCUUUUCCGAUCAAAUACAGCAGAAAACACUUCGUAUAAAUAUGGCGGCAACAUGUGGACUCUAUUUUAAUUCAUCACACAUAACAGUGUUGCCAAACUCAAUUUAUAAACUAAAAUAUUAUACCACGUUUACAAAAAUUUAUUCUAUUGCAGGCAUUUAUCUCUUGCUCUAGCAAGAUUGUACGGUUGCACAAUAUGGAAUCCUAUAACAAAAUAUGCAAGAGCACGACAACACCUAAUUAAAGAAACAGAAAUAUCCGAGAAAUGUAUGUGUGCAUACGUAAUAUGACAGCUAGUCCAUGAUUGCAAUAAUUUUUGCACACUUAUGUGAAGACCCUGCAGCUUUGACGGAUUGUGUUAACUCCCGACAUAACGUAUCUAAGUUAUGGUGAUAUGCGAAAUUCUGAAAUUCUCUUUUUACUAUGAGUGGCUUGCUUUGCGCUUAAUAAGAUAUAAUUAAUAAUAGCGAAUGCAAUCAUAGCAUAAAACCUGUUUUGGUUGGAGUAUUAUCAGCGUCAACCGUAAUGCGGAUUUUUGGAAAUCGGUUCACUCAUUAACAUUGAAGCUGAGCUUGACGAGCAUGAUGAGUAGAAUAUAAAAAAAGCAACGAGCAGAAUAAAUUAGACGGCGAACGGAAGAAGUCGUGCAAACAAUUAAUUGGUAAUAUCAUUAACUUUAACUUAUACAAGCGGCAUAUUAUGUUCGGUAAAUCCUCUUAAAAUAUCUAAAUUUUUUUCCAUAAACUCAAUAAUUAUGGCAUUUUGCGUUCUAUUUUCCCCUAUAGAAAUAAAGAUAAGUUAAUUCGUAGUAAAAUAAAUAAACUAAAUUGAUUUCUUAACUAAAAUUUUUUCAAACGACUAACAACACACCAAACUGAAAAAAAUGCCAUAUUCAGGUUUAUCAGCAACUAUCUUCUUGCUGUGUUUCUAAUAACAAAACUGGUAAAAUUGGUUACGUUGAUACCCAAAACCGAUACAAUUUUUGUUCACACAACAAACCAAUAAUAUCUGAAAACAUAACCAGGGGUGUUGUGGAACCGAAUACAGAUUUGCGUAAUUGUCGGAAUUGCAAACCAAUUCUGAUUUUCAAUGGUGCAAUAGAGUCUAGUUGGAUUUUAGUCUUUUCGAACAUAAGCAAAACCAAUUUCGAAUCAGCUGUUUGCUAAUGUGACAAAACUUGUAAAUCAAUAAAUUUGGAAGCAAUUCAUUCCGCAAUUUUAUCCUUUAUUUUAUUGGAGGAAGAAAGCAACGAAAUAUUAAAAGUAAGAUUUUAAGAGAUCAAUAAUUAACUUGAUGUCCGGAGGGAAUCGUACGUGAAUUUUAGCCUGCAUUUACCUGUAUGCUUGUUUUUAUUUACUUGCUUACUUAACAGAUUUAUAUUUCAUUAUCGCCUGAAUAAAGUUGCUUUUGUUUGUGGGGUUAAAUUACGAUUUGUAAUUUUUCUAAAAAAACUUGACUUUUUUUAUAAACCCAAGAAUUAUGGCAUUUGGUGUUCUAUUCUUAUUUGUUCCCCUUUAAAAAUAGAAAUACGUUAGUUCGUAAAAUUAAUUAAUUUCUCAACUUACAUAUCAAAUCUGUCUGCGAUUAUCUUCUUUCUUUGUUUUUGCUAACAAAACCGAUAAAAUUAAUUUCCAUGACAACCAAAACCGACACAAUAUCUGCUUCGAACAUCAAACUAAUAAUAUUUGAAUUCAUGACACCUCCAGACCACCAGUAAACCGCACGAAUUAGUGCAUACACCCAAUACAACAGAAAAAAAAAAAUAAAGCUCCCUUGAAAACUAAAAUAAAGCUCUCUUACAUCAAAUAUAUUAAUUUUUGUCGCUCUGGCAAAUGCUCCACUAACUAGGGAAAUAAAAAAAAAUACCUAGAAGGAAAACGGAAAAAAUUCAGCUUCAUGUAAAGACAUUUGCUCACAGCUUAUUUCAUACAGAAAGUUGUUUGCAUUGUGACAAGGAGUCGCGGAAGUUGAAGCAAUUUGACUGGAAUUCAAACGACAGUGCAGAGAAUAAUUGUGAUUUCAGCUGAAUGAAAACAUUUAUUGGCAGACUUUGAAGAUGACAAUUGCUAUGUAUAUGAAUGCAAUCUUGUUUUUUUUACUUAAUUUAUGUACACAAAAAAAAACUGAAUAAAAAUAUUUCCAAAUUGAAAAA